AUUGAACGCUGGCGGCAUGCUUUACACAUGCAAGUCGAACGGCAGCGCGGGCUUCGGCCUGGCGGCGAGUGGCGAACGGGUGAGUAAUACAUCGGAACGUGCCCAGUAGUGGGGGAUAGCUCGGCGAAAGCCGGAUUAAUACCGCAUACGACCUGAGGGUGAAAGCGGGGGAUCUUCGGACCUCGCGCUAUUGGAGCGGCCGAUGGCAGAUUAGCUAGUUGGUGGGGUAAAGGCCUACCAAGGCGACGAUCUGUAGCUGGUCUGAGAGGACGAUCAGUCACACUGGAACUGAGACACGGUCCAGACUCCUACGGGAGGCAGCAGUGGGGAAUAUUGGACAAUGGGCGAAAGCCUGAUCCAGCAAUGCCGCGUGUGUGAAGAAGGUCUUCGGAUUGUAAAGCACUUUAAGUUGGGAGGAAGAGCAGUAAGUUAAUACCUUGCUUUUUUGACGUUACCCACAGAAUAAGCACCGGCUAACUACGUG
rnacentral:rRNA from 1 species